rnacentral:rRNA from 1 species
UACAGAGGGUGCGAGCGUUGUCCGGAAUCACUGGGCGUAAAGGGCGCGUAGGUGGCGGGCCAAGUCCAUGGUGAAAGCUUGGGGCUCAACCCCGAGUCGGCCGUCGAUACUCCCGGGCUGGAGCACUGUAGAGGCAGGUGGAAUUCCGGGUGUAGCGGUGGAAUGCGUAGAGAUCCGGAAGAACACCGGUGGCGAAGGCGGCCUGCUGGGCAGUAGCUGACGCUGAGGCGCGACAGCGUGGGGAGCAAACAGG